rnacentral:rRNA from 1 species
GACGGGGGAUGCAAGCGUUAUCCGGAAUCACUGGGCGUAAAGCGGCUGUAGGUGGUGAUGCAAGUCACUGGUGCAAAACUCUGGCUCAACCGGAGGAAAGCCAGUGAAACUGCAUGACUAGAGUGUGGGAGAGGUAGAAGGAAUUCCCUGAGUAGCGGUGAAAUGCGUAGAUACAGGGAAGAACACCGGAGGCGAAAGCGUUCUACUGGAACCCAACUGACACUGAGAGUCGAAAGCUAGGGGAGCGAAUGGG